AGUUGCACGGCGCCUGCCUCUCGAGGAAUGGCGGAGUGGCGGACGGGUGAGGAACGCGUAAGGACCUGCCCCUGGGAGGGGGAUAACAGCUGGAAACGGCUGCUAAUACCCCAUAUCCUGAGGAGGGAAAGGAGAGAUCCGCCCAGGGAGGGGCUUGCGUCUGAUUAGCUAGUUGGGGGGGUAAUGGCCUCCCAAGGCAACGAUCAGUUGCUGGUCUGAGAGGAUGAUCAGCCACACUGGGACUGAGACACGGCCCAGACUCCUACGGGAGGCAGCAGUGAGGAAUCUUCCGCAAUGGGCGAAAGCCUGACGGGGCAAUGCCGCGUGGAGGAUGAAGGCCCAAUGGGUCGUAAACUUCCUUAGAUCAGAGACGAAGAGAUGACGGUACCUGAAGAACUAAGCAUCGGCUAAACCCCGUGCCAGCAGCCGCGGUAAGACGGGGGAUGCGAGCGUUAUCCGGAAUGAUUGGGCGUAAAGGGUCCGCAGGUGGCCCGGUCAGUCCGCUGUCAAAACCUGGGGCUCAACCCUGGAGAGGCGGCGGAGACCACCGGGC
rnacentral:rRNA from 1 species